rnacentral:rRNA from 1 species
AUUGAACGCUGGCGGCAGGCCUAACACAUGCAAGUCGAACGGCAGCGGGGGGUAGCUUGCUACCCUGCCGGCGAGUGGCGGACGGGUGAGUAAUGCCUGGGGAGCUGCCCAAUCGAGGGGGAUACCAGGUGGAAACGACUGCUAAUACCGCAUACGCCCUGAGGGGGAAAGGUGGGGCUCUUCGGACCUACCCGAUUGGAUGCACCCAGGUGGGAUUAGCUAGUUGGUGAGGUAACGGCUCACCAAGGCGACGAUCUCUAGCUGGUCUGAGAGGAUGACCAGCCACACUGGAACUGAGACACGGUCCAGACUCCUACGGGAGGCAGCAGUGGGGAAUAUUGCACAAUGGGGGAAACCCUGAUGCAGCCAUGCCGCGUGUGUGAAGAAGGCCUUAGGGUUGUAAAGCACUUUCAGUGGGGAGGAAAGGGUGGAAGCUAAUACCUUUCAUCUGUGACGUUACCCACAGAAGAAGCACCGGCUAACUCCGUGCCAGCCGCCGCCGUAACAC